UGGGGAAUAUUGCACAAUGGGGGAAACCCUGAUGCAGCGAUGCCGCGUGAGCGAAGACGGCCUUCGAGUCGUAAAGCUCUGUCCUAUGAGAAGAUAAUGACGGUACCAUAGGAGGAAGCCCUGGCCAAAUACGUGCCAGCAGCCGCGGUAAUACGUCUGGGGCGCGCGUUGUCCGGAAUUAUUGGGCGUAAAGGGUACGUAGGUGGUUUUUUAAGUCAGGUGUCAAAGCGUGGAGCUUAACUCCAUUAAGCACUUGAAACUGAAAGACUUGAGUGAAGGAGAGGAAAGUGGAAUUCCUGGUGUAGCGGUGAAAUGCGUAGAUAUUAGGAGGAAUACCGGUGGCGAAGGCGACUUUCUGGACUUAUACUGACGCUCAGGUACGAAAGCGUGGGGAGCAAACAGG
rnacentral:rRNA from 1 species